CAUUUUUUCGAUUUUGUUUUUUUCCUUUUUUUUAGAUAUGCUUAUGCGCUUUCAAAAAAUCACUUUCUAGUAUCAGACAUGGAAUUUAAUUUUCUUGUAUUACAAAAAUCUAACAUUCGCUACUGUGAUGAAGUUUCUGUUAGCUUAUCGGUGGUGUCGGGGUUCAAUCACGGGCACCUUAUUAACAAAAUGUUACCAGUUCC